GUUGUCGAACACUUGCUCCUGUUUAUUUCCUCAAAAUAUUUCUAUUUUUGCAUAGCCCAUGCCUCUAAUGCAAUAAUACUUCGGAAGAGUGAAUCUUACUGAAAUAAUGUCUUGAUCUUGGGAGCAUGAUAAAUCUCUCAACAAGGGUCUAACUCAUUUUGAACAAACUCAAUACAGAGCAGAUAGCUUUUAUAAUCAUAAUUAAUAUUUUCAGUUUUAUCAGGCAUAUAAAACACUGAGGAUGGUAGCUAGAAAUUUGAAUAUUUUGCAAUAAAUUCUCCAAGCAACAAUGAU
rnacentral:lncRNA from 1 species